AAAACAUGAUGCGAGAUACUGCGAUUAUUCAGCAGCACAAUGUUUAGUAUUAUUUAGCAGGAUUUGCAGGAUGUCAGCUGAUAUUUUACAGUGUUUUGCAUAUCGGGCACAUUAAAAGCAAGGAGGGAAACAAGACGCAAAGGAGAAGAGGGUGAAGGAGAGAAAGACACACAGCUGCAGCGAUAAAGGGAAGGAUUUUGGAGAUGCCACCUCAUCCAGAUGUCAGAUGGACUCUCCUGUAUUUUGUCCUUUUGUCAGAGAUCUGCUCAUGUCUCCAUCAUUACUACUUCAUUGAGGAGGAAAAGACUUGGUUGGAAGCCAAGAGGCACUGUGAGCAGAACGACUCUGUCCUGGCCACCGUGAACAACCAGCAAAAUGUGGUGCAGCUGCUUGCAGCUGUUGCCAAUGGCUUUAAGGGAAAUGUGUGGAUUGGCCUACAUAUUGAAUUAACAGAGUGGAGGUGGUCUCUGAAUAAUGGAAGUGCAACCUUUACACGCUGGAAAGCAGGACAAC